UAAUCCUGUCACUGUAAAAUCCUACACUCAUUCUUCCACGCACAGAGGGAAAAGGGACUCACUAGGAAGACCUAGUCUUUCAGUUUUAACUAUUAACCAAUAGUGGAAAAACAAGGAUGCCUAAGUUAUGCCUUCAGAGCCAAUAGGGUGGAUUUGUGUGUCCCACAUGACAGCAUUUCCCCUGUCUUUCACAUGAGCAGUAUUUAGUUGAAUUCAGAAUUGCAGAUAGUACAGCUUGCACGGCAGCAAUGGGAUGUCUGAGCACAAGUGACUGACUUCCGAGUGACUUUAUAAAACACUUUUGUACUUUCCUUCUGCAUUAAAUUGGGAUCUGCAUCCUUGACAUUCACCCACCACACACAUCUCUACUGAAGGAAACAGUGACUAGCACAGCUUAGCAGUAUGAAACUGCCCUAUGCUCAAAUACCACAAAGAAGGGCAUAAGAAGCAGCAUUGAACUGAAUAUGAAGGCAAAAUUCCCAUUGACUUCCAUGUUUAUCUGCACCAGAGGAAUUGGAGCAGAAUUGCAGACCAACAAACGAAGUGAGCUGAAGGCAAUUUGACCAAUGUCUUCUGUGUGAAUUCCACAGAGGCUGAUGAAGCAUGUUAUCAGGUCUCCAAGAGGAAGGCUCUAACAUCAGAUAUAAACAAAGGAACUGCUUUCUUUAAAAUUCAGCUGUUUUAAGGCCAGAGAAUUGUUCUUUCGGGGCCUGAUCCGGCAAGACCUCACAUGGGCUACUCCACUGAAUACAAGAGAGAUUACUCAGAACCCUUAAGAUUCCAGCGAGAGUCCAGAGACAAAAAGUAGACGCUAAGAACAGGUUCAUUUACCACAUUUCACUUAAAACAAAAUGGGGACAAGGAGACAAAGCCCUGAAGAGAGCAGAACCAGCAAUAGAAAGAGCUCUGAUCUCCUAACUCCCAGCCCAGUACCCUAUUUAUUGGGCAACAUUGCCUCACAUGUACUUAAACAUUUGCUUGUGAACAACUACAGCUGGCAGGUGCACCAGAUAUUUUAUGAGUGCAGCUUUAAAAUUAUUGGCUUCAGUGACUUGUAUGCAAAAAAUUAAAUAAUGUGGCAGAGUUGGGACUAGAGAGCACAGAUCUCCAAAUUCAUCAUUUUGGUCUUUAACCACUAGACUAUGUUCUAUGUCAGAUAAGGAAAGUAUGUCUGUCUGAGGCAAUCAAAACAGGAGAGAUGGUAAGAAAUGGUCUUCAAAAGGUGAUAGUGAGUACAGAGAGUUACUAGCUGAACUGCUUGUGCUUUAGCUUGAGCCUAUCAUGUUGCUUCUAAUUUUCACCUCAUCUUUGAUUUAGCUUCCACUUGACACGUUUUGGGCCUGGGCCACACAGAUCUCUAUGCCAGACUGUUUGCAAUUCCGAGUGUUUUGCCUUGCCUAGAAAGUUAGAUUGCUGAAAUAUUUGCUAGAAUAAAUAGAGGUUAAGUGUGAAGUCAGUAGGUGAGCUUUGCUUCACGGAUAUUGGUAUAAAAAGCAGUUGCCAUACUACUUUGAGUGAUCUAAAGAACAGAUGUUUGUAUGUGAUUUAUGAACACAAAUGUGUUCAUCUUCCAUAAAUAGCAAUAUGUUCCAGUAACAAACUGAAUAGAGAAUUCUAGCCCAAGAGGGCUGGGCAACUGCAGGCAGUAUUUGAAAUUGUCCAUUAAUUCUUGGUUUUACAUGAAAAAUAGACUAUAAAUCCAAUCCUGUAAUCCCUUCACAUUUGAGUGGUUCCUCUGAUUUCAAAAUAGGACUAUUCAUGUAAGUAUGGCAUAAUCAGACCUGAUAAUACAGAUGUCUGUUUAAGAUAAUUAAAUGUAAUUAAAUCAAUAAUAAUGACAUUCAAUAUACAGUAAAUGCACUUUGGAAACAUUACAUUAAUAUGACCUAGUUUGUAUUUUAGUCAUUAUCAGAAUUUUAGCAAAUUUCCAAAGCUAAAAAUUUUAUGGCUAAGUAUUCACUGAAAGCUUCUAGUUCUCUGAAUAAUUUCUGUAAGAGUAAUCAAAUAUUUGAUUAAGCAAAUAGGUCAUCACCACUGCUCACACUUGCACUGGUCCUAAACUAUUGUGGUUAAACAGCAUCCCAUUUCUCAGAAAGAUUGUGUUGCAGACAUGUAAUAUUAGCUGAUGUGCUUAAUUUUAACAGCACAGUUAAUUUUUGGACAGCAAGUUUACUCAAAAACCAUCUUCAGUAACCAUCAGUGAAAUCUUGUGGACUGAGGGAAGCUAUGUAUUUAUUCAGCAAUUUGCCAUGUAGGUCACAAAGUUUUUAAAAGAUUUCUAUAGCUGCUAUUUUAUUUCAAAACAGGUUUUCUAACAUGCCAACAUUUAUUCUUUAAAUUUCAUGGGCAGUUGCAUUACACCAGGAAUACAUUUGGUACACAGUAUAGUUUCCAUUUGUACACACAUUAUAUAUACAUACAUAUAUACACACCAUAUCACUAGAAAAAAUGGCUCCAUAAGUGGCAGAAUUUACACAAAGCAAUCUAUUAUGAUUCGUAUUGAAUAUAACAUUUUCCCUUUCUGUGUUAGACUGGUAAGUGGUAUUGCUCUGACAUGUUACACAGCUGCUACUCUUUUCCCCAGAGGUGGCUGCAUUUCAUGGUGGGUGAAAGGAUUCCCUAGAACAUCCUUUUGCUCCAGUACUACACAAGGAUAUUAAAAUAUUUUCAUAAACUUUAAGGCCAGAUGAGACCAUUAUGACAAUCUAAUCUGAUCUCCUGCGUACACCAGCCAUCUAAUGCCACCCCGUAACUCCCACAUUGAGUCCAUAUUUAGGAAUUGAUUCUGCACUCCCAACACACCCCAAACUUCUAUGCACUUCAGUUAGGGUUUGUAAAAAUAUUGUGAGAUCAGAUAAUACUGCUUCACAGUUUAGGUUCUGUUGUUGUCUUUUACCCAUGUGUUGCAGAAGUGAAUGCUUCUUCCCCACCCCCCUUUCUGCUACAGAAGGACUUCCUUUCUUGCAGUGUCCAUAAAUUUUUACUUUUAACACUAAGUUUCAUUUCAAUAAGUUACUAGCAUUGGACAGCCAGCCAAGAAAAAAAAUAAAGCUUCUGUUGACAAUGGUCAAGUGGAUUUAACUCAUUCUUUGU